rnacentral:tRNA from 1 species
AUUGUGAUAGCUCAGCUAUUAGAGCAUCUGCCCAGCUAGCGGAAUGUCGUUGGUUUGAUUCCAGCUCGCGGUG